CUAAUUCCGUGCCACAGCCGCGGUAAUACGGGAGUGGCAAGCGUUAUCCGGAAUUAUUGGGCGUAAAGCGUCCGCAGGCGGCCUUGAAAGUCUGUCGUUAAAGCGUGGAGCUUAACUCCAUUUCGGCGGUGGAAACUACAAGGCUUGAGUGUGGUAGGGGCAGAGGGAAUUCCCGGUGUAGCGGUGAAAUGCGUAGAUAUCGGGAAAAACACCAGUGGCGAAGGCGCUCUGCUGGGCCAUAACUGACGCUCAUGGACGAAAGCUA
rnacentral:rRNA from 1 species